UUUUUGCUAGCUCCCAUUAUUGUCUCUUGGGAAGCAUUUCUUCCUAACUGCAUGUGAAUCUGGUAAGGCUGUACCAAGAAGUCUAGGCACCUGCCUGAGGCUGGCCAGAAAUAGUUUUAUUCUGGGACUGCUAAGUAGAGGGAGGGCUUUUAUUCUGAGAUCAUAAGGUGCAAGGACAAUAUUGGCUUGGGACUGGCAGGGGUAUCUUGCUACCACGUGUAGAGGGAAUUUGCUUGAGAACGAAGCUGGGGGGUCAGACAGAGCAGAGCAGAAAGAUGGGGGGGGAAUCAUUUGGACCCUCAGUCCAGUUGUAUCCAAAGCCGCUCAACCCCUUGGAGUUCUGAGCUGUGUGAGCCAACACAUUCACAGUUUAGAGCAGUUGUAAGUUGGUUUUUGGCUGUUUGUAAUUAAAAGGGUGGCCCUGACCAAUACAUUUCUGAAACUGGAUUACGAGUUUUUCCAAAAUGGAAACUACACCUGACUAAGGGAAGAAAUUCAUUGCCAAGUUCACAACUUAUAAGCCGACAACUGUGAGUUUGUGUAUAUGUGUUUAAGUAUAAUCUGAAUAUAAUUAAAUAUGGAAGGUUUAAAACUUUUAGGCACUCAUGUGUCCCAAAUACUGGUUAUCUGUAUAAUUGCAGCAGGCUGUAUUUAUUUUCUAGAUUUAGAGGCAAUGCCUAUUGAAAUUAAUAUUCAAAUUUAUGCCAACUAAUAUGCAAAUAAGCAUAGCUUUGGUGCUUUAAAAAACAAGAGGAUAGGAUUGCAGCACUGGUGUUUCAAUGGUGCUGAUGCUUUGAUGAAAGAAGACAAAGACGGCCAGAAUGCAGAUGAGACAUGUUCCCUUGGAAUACCCAAUGCAAAUGGGAAAUUCAUGGUUCUGUUAAACUGUUUUAAAACAGAAAACGAUCCCUCAAUCUUAUAUAGCAGUUUAACCAUUCAUUAAUUUACUUGGUGCAAAUACCACAACUUUUCAGAAACGAUGCCACUCAUAAAUAUAAUCUAUGAACACAAGAGAAAAUAUGUACUUUUACUCCUGCCAAAUGUCAAAAUUUAAAUCUCUAACUGAUUGUUCCAAUUGAAACAGUGUGGUCUGCCUCUCUUCUUUAACCUCUUCUAUGCCUCUCUUCUUGGACAUAUAUUUCACUAGUAUGUAUCUAGUACAAUAUUAUUUAUGGUGUGUGCAUAUGGAUUUUAAAAUGAUCAGUUAGGAUUAGGUUAAGCUAUGAAUGACAGAAAUUUGGAAAGCAGUGGAAAUUUCUUUCUUUCUUAAGCAGGAGAAGUCUGGAGGUGGACUGUCCAGAGCUGGUAUGGUGUUUCCAUGGUUAUUGAGGACUAAAGAUUUUUUCCAGCCUUUCAAAACACAGUGCCUAGGGUGUGACUCUAAUCCUCUGGUUCCAUAAGGCUGCUGGGUUUCUAGACAUCAUAUCCAGUUUCCCAGCAGCAGGGUGGAGGAAAAGAGGAAGAAGGAUGGGCCAUCUCUCUUUUAAGGAAACUUCCGGGAAGUCCUGCAAAGUACAUCUACUUAUAUAUCAUUGGUCAGAACUUAGUCUUAUGCCACACGUAACUAUGAUGGAGGCUGGGAAAUAUGGCCUUUUAGGUGGGAGGCCAAUUGUCCAGGUAAAAAUCAUUACUCUGAUAAUUUGAGAGAGAAACAAAAAAAUACCCUAGGAGAAAACUGUCAAACUCUGCUCCAAAUAUUAAAUGCAUAUUUGUUUAUUGAUUUAUUGUUUGCUUCCUGCACAAGAAGUUAGCUCCAUGGGCAGCCCGGGGGGCUCAGUGUUGGGCUCCCUGCAUGGAGCCUGCUUCUCCCUCUGUUUUGUGUCUGUCUCUGCCUCUCUCUCUCUCUCAUGAAUAAAUAAAUAAAAUCUUAAAAAAAAAAAAAAAAAGAAAAAGCUAGCUCUAGGAGGGCAAGGGCUUUAUUUUGUUCAUGAUUGUAUUCUUAAUGCUAUUCUGUAUAUGUCUUUCUUGAUUUUCUUUCAUGAGUUUAGGAAGCUUGGCCAGCUAGAAUGCUGUGUUGGGAAAAAUGCAGAAAGUCCAUCCAGAUUUGGUGAGAAAGAGUGCUGUGGUCAACCACGAAUGUCUGCGGUGCCCAGACCACGUGGCCCAGGCCUAGAGCAUUCCCUCUAACCACUAGUUUUCAACUCAAAUGUUGUGCAAUGAGUGGCUACUGUGAAGCCAGUUUAAAUCUAUAUGCCAGAAGGCCUUAUUUAAAUUUGUUGUUUAAAAUGUUUUAUUCUGAGUAGAGAUUUGAGUAUUUUCUGCAACUUUUUUUCCUUUCUCUUAUGUGGCAUUCUCUUGCGCAGUUGUAAAUUUUGCAGGUUUCUAGAGAGUUGCUAAAGGAAUUAUAUGCAAAUUCCGGGUUACACUUAGUUGGCAAAUUCUAACCAGAAAGUUGCUGGGAAAAGGGAUUUUUGCUGUUCUUUAAAGAAUAAAAUGAAAAAACAGGUCACGAAUUUUUUUGCUGUCAGAGUAGGGGUGCAGUGCCGUGGCAUGUUCAUCCUCUGAUUCCUUGGGAAGGCAGAAGGGCCCAGAGAGGUGAUAAGGACUUUCCAAGUUCUACACAAAUGCUAGAAAGAGAAGCUUAGGCCUUUUCUUUAUUUAGCUCCAACAAUCUAAGCAUGAGGACAAGAGGACCAGAGUUAAAUUCAGCUACAAUUAAAAAUAGCUAAGACUAUUGAGUAAUGUACUAAAUUGCAUCUAAAAAAGUUUGUCUUUAAAAAGCUGUCACCGCAGCAACCUUCUUUUUCUGCCCCACACAACACAUUUCCUCAUCAGUAAUGGUGACAAGACAGUAACUUGAUAUGGCUGAGUUUCUUUCAGAAGGAGGGAAUUAUGCAAUAUUCCAUAAGGAGAAAUCAUAAUUUCAAGGAUGUUGUUUAAAAAGCCCCCUUGAUUACUCUUAAUGCACUUCUCCUGGGGUACAUGUCCCUCUUUUCCCCUACUUUCCCAACCGUGAGUCAAGAAUUACUGCCUUAUUAUGUUUUUUUAAGAUUUUAUUUAUUUAUUUGAGAAAGAGAGAGAAAGCAUGGGUGCAAAAGAGAGGGGUGGAGGGGAGAGGGAGAUGGAGAAGCAGACUCCCCACUUUGCAGGGAGCCCAUGUGCACAGGGCUCCAUCCCCAGACCCUGGGAUCAUGACCUGAGCUGAAGGCAGGUGCUUAACCAACUGGGCCACCCAGGUGUCUGGAGAAUUACUGCCUUAUUGGAAUGACCUGCUUGUUAUUUAAGUUUUGUUUUGUUUAGCUAUUUCCAUGAGAUUAGCCAUUUGUAAAUAACAUCUGGAAAUUCUACAUCUUAGUUUGGGUUCCCCCAAAGCAGAGUUUAAGAAUUUUGGGAGCACAUAUUUUAUUAGGGAGAUAGUCCCAGGGAGCAGGAAGAAAAAAGCUAAUAGAUGAGUUUGUUAUUGAGGUUACACUAUGGGCAAUAAAGGCUUGGUUUAAUCAGAACCUCUGGAAAAGUAAACAUAUGUUAGAACUGUCGCUGUGCAGGAUGAAUGAGUGUAGCACUUAUCCACUAACUUCCGUUCCUAUCGUUUGCAACUUACACUAGGGAUAUUAACACACUUCACCCUCCUACCACUCCCAGGCUGCACUUGGUGGACUGGCUACCCCAUGACAUCAGAAAACCCUAUCUAUCCACAGUGCCCAGCAGAAAGGCCCAUGGGAUGGAUACUGACAGAGCAAGGUUGCCAGGAGCCCUACUCCCUAUCCACUCACUCCAGGAUCUGGCCAGAUGGAGCAGCCCCACCAUCUUGAAAAUUGCUGGUCACACAGCAGAAAAAGGAACACAGUAAACCAGAGAUGAAGAGAUGGAGGCUCAGAGUGCUAAAGUAGCCUGUGAGUGGCUCUCCAGCUCGGGCCGGCGGAGGGAGAACCGGUGUACAAGACUUAUGCUCUUCCAGCCAGCGUUCUGUCUCUGCCAUGAUUCACAGGAUCAGAGUUUCUACGAGCCUCCCAGGCUGGGGAAUGUGACUUUUUGUUGUCCUCUUUAAAGCAUGCUGUAAUAAACAAUCUACGGUGAUUACUCUUCCCUAUAAUUCCACAUGGGGAUUAUAAGCCAUCCUGUUAUUCUGUAGCUGUAUCAUGCUGGUUUAUUAUUAUAUUGAAAUGUUUCCUUUAAAUACAUUAGAGUCAUACAGUAUUUAUUUUAAAUAAGGGGGAACUAGCCUCUAGGAGAUGUAGUAGUUCCUAAAUUAGAAGCUCAGACAUUUUAAAUUAGAACAAAAGGCCCUAGGUAAAACUCUGAAGUAGGCCAGCAAGCUUGGUGAGCGCAUGAGGGAAUUUAUUGCAAGGUGUCAAUAGAUUCACGUGUAUGCUAAGAACUGAUUAUAGACUAAACAAAUAAUAUUUCUCACCCAUACAUCUCCUAUGGGUCCACAAGCUUGUAUUUGAAACCUUUGGGGCUGCAUAUGUUUUGGAAGUUAGAUAUUUCAGGUUUCAGAAGUCAGGUAACAGGAUGUAUAAACCAUAUAUUAAUAGCAUUCCCAGGAGUCUGGAACAGCACCCUAUAAUCAAGCACCUUAAUAAUUUUGCAGUUAAAUAUGGGAAUGUUCACUACUAAUGGAAUAAAAAAAAAGACUAUUAAUAGCCUUAUGUUAGUUCAGGUCAGGUUUUGCCCCCAAAAUGAGUUUGUCAUGAACGUAUCAAAAAAGCUUCUAUUAUAAGGGGUAGUGGAAAAGGAGGCGGUAGGGGGAUGGGGUGACUGGGUGAUGGGCACUGAGGAGGGCACCUGACGGGAUGACCACUGGGUGUUAUACUAUAUGUUGGCAAAUUGAACUUCAAUUAAAAAAAUAUAUAAAAAAACAAACAAAAAAAAAACCCUCUAUUUUUUAGUGCUUUAUAAAGUCCAGGAUUAUGGAUGAAGGAUUGUAGAUCUAAAUUUAAAUUUAUGAACAUACUAAUCAAUAAGAGAUAAACUUAUUAAAUGAGUUUCAAUAUUUAAUGUACCUUUUUGUCACUAUGUAUUUUCUCAAUCAGUGGCUAGAUACAAAGACAACAACAUAUAUCACACCAGAAUUCACAAAAUUUUAAGGACUCUUGAGUGUCCUUGGUGGAACCCUAAUCCUAAUCGCAGCAUGGCCCCGGAUACCUGCUUCAUGGGACCGUCUCCUUCCCUAGUGCACAGUUGGAGGGGUGGAAGGGCCAGUGAGGACCUAAGGCUGGAGCCUCAUUAGGAAAAUCUCUAUCCUGUAGGGCAGGGAUUCCCAAUCUUAUUAAAUAGGAGGGACUCCUUUUAAUUGUACGUGCUCUGGAGCUAGAUUUCUGUGUCAAGACUCUUGCUCUGCUGGGACAUCUGGGUGGCUCAGUGGUUGAGCAUCUGCCUUCGGUUGUUAUCCCGGGGUCUAGGGAUGGAGCCCCGAAUUGGGCUCCCCUGGGGAGCCCGCUUCUCCCUCUG